CAUGCAGGUCGAGGGGCAGCAUGNAACUUAGCUUGCUAAGUUUGAUGGCGACCGGCGCACGGGUGAGUAACACGNUAUCCAACCUGCCGAUGACUCGGGGAUAGCCUUUCGAAAGAAAGAUUAAUACCCGAUGGCAUANUUCUUCCGCAUGGCAGAACUAUUAAAGAAUUUCGGUCAUCGAUGGGGAUGCGUUCCAUUAGGUUGUUGGCGGGGUAACGGCCCACCAAGCCUUCGAUGGAUAGGGGUUCUGAGAGGAAGGUCCCCCACAUUGGAACUGAGACACGGUCCAAACUCAUACGGGAGGCAGCAGUGAGGAAUAUUGGUCAAUGGACGAGAGUCUGAACCAGCCAAGUAGCGUGAAGGAUGACUGCCCUAUGGGUUGUAAACUUCUUUUAUACGGGAAUAAAGUGAGGCACGUGUGCCUUUUUGUAUGUACCGUAUGAAUAAGGAUCGGCUAACUCCGUGCCAGCAGCCGCGGUAAUACGGAGGAUCCGAGCGUUAUCCGGAUUUAUUGGGUUUAAAGGGAGCGUAGGCGGACGCUUAAGUCAGUUGUGAAAGUUUGCGGCUCAACCGUAAAAUUGCAGUUGAUACUGGGUGUCUUGAGUACAGUAGAGGCAGGCGGAAUUCGUGGUGUAGCGGUGAAAUGCUUAGAUAUCACGAAGAACUCCGAUUGCGAAGGCAGCUUGCUGGACUGUAACUGACGCUGAUGCUCGAAAGUGUGGGUAUCAAACAGGAUUAGAUACCCUGGUAGUCCACACAGUAAACGAUGAAUACUCGCUGUUUGCGAUAUACAGUAAGCGGCCAAGCGAAAGCGUUAAGUAUUCCACCUGGGGAGUACGCCGGCAACGGUGAAACUCAAAGGAAUUGACGGGGGCCCGCACAAGCGGAGGAACAUGUGGUUUAAUUCGAUGAUACGCGAGGAACCUUACCCGGGCUUGAAUUGCAACUGAAUGAUGUGGAGACAUGUCAGCCGCAAGGCAGUUGUGAAGGUGCUGCAUGGUUGUCGUCAGCUCGUGCCGUGAGGUGUCGGCUUAAGUGCCAUAACGAGCGCAACCCUUAUCGAUAGUUACCAUCAGGUUAUGCUGGGGACUCUGUCGAGACUGCCGUCGUAAGAUGUGAGGAAGGUGGGGAUGACGUCAAAUCAGCACGGCCCUUACGUCCGGGGCUACACACGUGUUACAAUGGGGGGUACAGAAGGCAGCUACACGGCGACGUGAUGCUAAUCCCUAAAGCCUCUCUCAGUUCGGAUUGGAGUCUGCAACCCGACUCCAUGAAGCUGGAUUCGCUAGUAAUCGCGCAUCAGCCACGGCGCGGUGAAUACGUUCCCGGGCCUUGUACACACCGCCCGUCAAGCCAUGAAAGCCGGGGGUACCUGAAGUGCGUAACCGCAAGAG
rnacentral:rRNA from 1 species